AUGACAACAUUGGUGACUCAAGUUCAAAGCACAUCUUGUUCAAGCACAUUUUUCUCAGCCCUAGUGCAACUCAUUCCUUGUAGGGCAUCAGUUGCUCCUUAUAGUCCAAUUCCACCAAAUGAUGCAUGCUGCAAUGCCCUUAAAGCUUUAGGUCAACCAUGUUUGUGUGUUCUUGUUAAUGGACCUCCGAUAAGUGGCGUUGAUCGUAACAUGGCUUCGCAACUACCGGAAAAGUGUACUUCAAACUUUGAUUCUUGUGUGUGA